AACGCUAGCUACAGGCUUAACACAUGCAAGUCGAGGGGCAUCAGGAAGAAAGCUUGCUUUCUUUGCUGGCGACCGGCGCACGGGUGAGUAACACGUAUCCAACCUGCCCUUUACUCGGGGAUAGCCUUUCGAAAGAAAGAUUAAUACCCGAUAGCAUAAUGGUUCCGCAUGGUUUCAUUAUUAAAGGAUUCCGGUAAAGGAUGGGGAUGCGUUCCAUUAGGUUGUUGGUGAGGUAACGGCCCACCAAGCCUUCGAUGGAUAGGGGUUCUGAGAGGAAGGUCCCCCACAUUGGAACUGAGACACGGUCCAAACUCCUACGGGAGGCAGCAGUGAGGAAUAUUGGUCAAUGGGCGCUAGCCUGAACCAGCCAAGUAGCGUGAAGGAUGAAGGUCCUAUGGGUCGUAAACUUCUUUUAUAUAAGAAUAAAGUGCAGUAUGUAUACUGUUUUGUAUGUAUUAUAUGAAUAAGGAUCGGCUAACUCCGUGCCAGCAGCCGCGGUAAUACGGAGGAUCCGAGCGUUAUCCGGAUUUAUUGGGUUUAAAGGGAGCGUAGGUGGACUGGUAAGUCAGUUGUGAAAGUUUGCGGCUCAACCGUAAAAUUGCAGUUGAUACUGUCAGUCUUGAGUACAGUAGAGGUGGGCGGAAUUCGUGGUGUAGCGGUGAAAUGCUUAGAUAUCACGAAGAACUCCGAUUGCGAAGGCAGCUCACUGGACUGCAACUGACACUGAUGCUCGAAAGUGUGGGUAUCAAACAGGAUUAGAUACCCUGGUAGUCCACACAGUAAACGAUGAAUACUCGCUGUUUGCGAUAUACAGUAAGCGGCCAAGCGAAAGCAUUAAGUAUUCCACCUGGGGAGUACGCCGGCAACGGUGAAACUCAAAGGAAUUGACGGGGGCCCGCACAAGCGGAGGAACAUGUGGUUUAAUUCGAUGAUACGCGAGGAACCUUACCCGGGCUUAAAUUGCAGUGGAAUGAUGUGGAAACAUGUCAGUGAGCAAUCACCGCUGUGAAGGUGCUGCAUGGUUGUCGUCAGCUCGUGCCGUGAGGUGUCGGCUUAAGUGCCAUAACGAGCGCAACCCUUAUCUUCAGUUACUAACAGGUCAUGCUGAGGACUCUGGAGAGACUGCCGUCGUAAGAUGUGAGGAAGGUGGGGAUGACGUCAAAUCAGCACGGCCCUUACGUCCGGGGCUACACACGUGUUACAAUGGGGGGUACAGAAGGCAGCUAGCGGGUGACCGUAUGCUAAUCCCAAAAGCCUCUCUCAGUUCGGAUCGAAGUCUGCAACCCGACUUCGUGAAGCUGGAUUCGCUAGUAAUCGCGCAUCAGCCACGGCGCGGUGAAUACGUUCCCGGGCCUUGUACACACCGCCCGUCAAGCCAUGGGAGCCGGGGGUACCUGAAGUACGUAACCGCAAGGAUCGUCCUAGGGUAAAACUGGUGACUGGGGCUA
rnacentral:rRNA from 1 species